GAGUACAAACUCUUAAAUCAAAUGAAGAAUUUACAUAUUCGUUGAAAAUUUGUGAAGAAGAUUCAAAUAUUCAAUUACCCAUUAUUGACCCAAACUCAUCAGUUGUUUUCGUAAAGUCACAUGAAGAAGAGGGCCCAAGGAUAUUUGCAAUAAAGAGAAACAUUAAAGAUAAAAGGAAUGAAACAUGA